ensembl:snRNA U6 U6 spliceosomal RNA
GCACUUACUUCAGUAGCACAUAGACUAAAAUUGAAAUGAUAUGGAAAUUGGCAUUGCCCCUGUGCCAAGAUGACACAAAUUCGUGAAGCCUUUCAUAUUUUU